CAGCAGCCGCGGGAAUACGGAGGGUGCAAGCGUUAAUCGGAAUUACUGGGCGUAAAGCGCACGCAGGCGGUCUGACAAGUCAGAUGUGAAAUCCCCGGGCUUAACCUGGGAACUGCAUUUGAAACUGUCAGGCUGGAGUCUUGUAGAGGGGGGUAGAAUUCCAGGUGUAGCGGUGAAAUGCGUAGAGAUCUGGAGGAAUACCGGUGGCGAAGGCGGCCCCCUGGACAAAGACUGACGCUCAGGUGCGAAAGCGUGGGGAGCAAACAGGAUUAGAUACCCGCGUAGUCCCUGUCUCUUAUAU
rnacentral:rRNA from 1 species